UUUUGCUUCCUAAAUGCGGCCAGCGGCUUGCUGCUGUGUAGGGAGGAAGAUAUGACUUAGAGCGCUGCUUGUGUGCGGUCACCGUCUAUCCAUCGAUCAGCGAAGAUUAGAUCUGCCGUCGCAAGUCGAAUGGAAAAUAAGAAAACAGUUGGCGGUUCGUGUUCUAUCCGUCUUGGGCUUUUCUUGAAGAAGUCCGGCCACGAUUAGUUCCCAUAGAAUUUAGAGUAUCCAACCAUCGCACACACAUGCAUACAAACACAAGUGAAACAGCCUCAAAAGCCUCCGUGAGAAAACUUUCUCCCAAUUCCUACAUGAGGCAAUCAACCGACUUCCCGUCUCUUGCCGGAUGAAGGGCUUCAAGUUCACAUCACACGAAACAAUAUUGCACUUUUUAUUUCUUUUACAUGAAACAUUAAACAUGGGCCGACUUGUUUUGA